rnacentral:tRNA from 1 species
GGAGAGGUGGCAGAGCGGUUGAAUGCACUGGUCUUGAAAACCAGCAUAGGUUUGUAGCCUAUCGUGGGUUCGAAUCCCACCCUCUCCGCCA